AAUGAACGCUGGCGGCGUGCCUAACACAUGCAAGUCGAGCGGACUUUCAAGAAGCUUGCUUUUUGAAAGUUAGCGGCGGACGGGUGAAUAACACGUGGGCAACCUGCCUGUAAGACGGGGAUAACUCCGGGAAACCGGGGCUAAUACCGGAUAAUAUCUUUCUUCGCAUGAAGGAAGGUUGUAAGGCGGCGCAAGCUGCCGCUUGCAGAUGGGCCCGCGGCGCAUUAGCUAGUUGGUGAGGCAACGGCUCACCAAGGCGACGAUGCGUAGCCGACCUGAGAGGGUGGUCGGCCGCACUGGGACUGAGAUACGGCCCAGACUCCUACGGGAGGCAGCAGUAGGGAAUCUUCCGCAAUGGACGAAAGUCUGACGGAGCAACGCCGCGUGAGCGAAGAAGGUCUUCGGAUCGUAAAGCUCUGUUGUCAGGGAAGAACAAGUACCGUUCGAAUAGGGCGGUACCUUGACGGUACCUGACCAGAAAGCCACGGCUAACUACGUGCCAGCCGCCGCGGUAA
rnacentral:rRNA from 1 species